GACGAACGCUGGCGGCGUGCUUAACACAUGCAAGUCGAACGGAAAGGCCCCUUUGGGGGUACUCGAGUGGCGAACGGGUGAGUAACACGUGAGUAACCUGCCCUUGACUUCGGGAUAACUUCAGGAAACUGGGGCUAAUACCGGAUAGGAAUCCUUGCUGCAUGGUGGGGGUUGGAAAGCUUCGGCGGUUUUGGAUGGACUCGCGGCUUAUCAGCUUGUUGGUGGGGUAGUGGCUUACCAAGGCUUUGACGGGUAGCCGGCCUGAGAGGGCGACCGGCCACAUUGGGACUGAGAUACGGCCCAGACUCCUACGGGAGGCAGCAGUGGGGAAUAUUGCACAAUGGGCGGAAGCCUGAUGCAGCGACGCCGCGUGCGGGAUGACGGCCUUCGGGUUGUAGACCGCUUUCAGCAGGGGCGAAGCUUGUGGUGACGGUACCUGCAGGAGAAGCACCGGCUAACUACGUG
rnacentral:rRNA from 1 species